rnacentral:rRNA from 1 species
AGUGGCGAACGGGUGAGUAAUGCAUCGGAACGUACCGUGUAGUGGGGGAUAACGUAGCGAAAGUUACGCUAAUACCGCAUACGCCCUGAGGGGGAAAGUGGGGGACCGCAAGGCCUCACGCUAUAUGAGCGGCCGAUGUCGGAUUAGCUAGUUGGUAGGGUAAAGGCCUACCAAGGCGACGAUCCGUAGCGGGUCUGAGAGGAUGAUCCGCCACACUGGGACUGAGACACGGCCCAUACUCCUACGGGAGGCAGCAGUGGGGAAUUUUGGACAAUGGGCGCAAGCCUGAUCCAGCCAUGCCGCGUGAGUGAAGAAGGCCUUCGGGUUGUAAAGCUCUUUCAGACGGAAAGAAAUCUCUCGGGAUAACACCCUGGGAGGAUGACGGUACCGUAAAAAGAAGCACCGGCUAACUACGUGCCAGCAGCCGCGGUAAUACGUAGGGUGCGAGCGUUAAUCGGAAUUACUGGGCGUAAAGCGUGCGCAGGCGGUGAUGUAAGACAGAUGUGAAAUCCCCGGGCUCAACCUGGGAACUGCGUUUGUGACUGCAUCACUCGAGUACGGCAGAGGGAGGUGGAAUUCCGCGUGUAGCAGUGAAAUGCGUAGAUAUGCGGAGGAACACCGAUGGCGAAGGCAGCCUCCUGGGCCAGUACUGACGCUCAUGCACGAAAGCGUGGG